rnacentral:rRNA from 1 species
UACAGAGGUCUCAAGCGUUGUUCGGAUUCAUUGGGCGUGAAGGGUGCGUAGGCGGCGCGGUAAGUCGGGUGUGAAAUCUCGGGGCUUAACUCCGAAACUGCAUUCGAUACUGCCGUGCUUGAGGACUGGAGAGGAGACUGGAAUUUACGGUGUAGCGGUGAAAUGCGUAGAUAUCGUAAGGAAGACCAGUGGCGAAGGCGGGUCUCUGGACAGUUCCUGACGCUGAGGCACGAAGGUCAGGGGAGCAAACGGG